GCCAGGCAUGGUGGUGCAUGCCUAUAAUCCCAGCUACUCGGGAGGCUGAGGCAGAAGAAUCAUUUGAAUCCAGGAAGUGGAGGUUGCAGUGAGCCAAGAUUGUGCCACUGCACUCCAGCCUGGGUGACAGAGUGAGACUCUGUCUCAA
rnacentral:SRP_RNA from 1 species